GUGCAUGUUUUGGCAGCACAUAUAUUUAUAUUGGUACAAUAAAGAGAAGAUUAGUAUGGUCUCUCUGCAAAGAUGACAUGCAAAUUUUGUGAAGCCUUCCACAGUUUU
rnacentral:snRNA from 1 species